rnacentral:lncRNA from 1 species
GCGCCGUUGUGGGCUGCGGAUCCGACGGCUUGUGCCGACGACUCGGGUGGCGGAGCCACGGGCGCUCCCAUCUCCGGGGGCGGCUCCCCUCCCCGAGAUCGACCCCAACUCACCGGAGGCUCAGCGGGAGAUGCGGCGGGUGGUGCGGGAGCGGUUCCCCAAUCGGGAGGCGUGGGGGGACAUUCACCUCGACAUCCUUCGCUAUGCGAACUUCGCCGAGCGCGCGCGCUUCAUCGGCGACGACGGCUGCAUGGAUGUGGAGCUCCUCUUCUGGGCGAUUCAGGAAGCCGAGUCGCCAGAUCCUGCACAAGCGGCGAAGUGGGCGUUCUUCAAGACGGCGAAUCCUUCUCGACUCAACAUCAGGCCGCCGUCGGUGGAGGGGAUUGCCAGCAUUCCGCCGGAAUUCCUCCCCCCGGGGGUGGAGCUGCCCCGCCGUCGCCAGUAAGAGAUCCGACGCCUCGCCUGUCCCAACACCGCGCCAUCGAUCCCCCUCCCUGGCCUGGUGAGGGAGGUAUGCAUGCAUUUCGCCUUCCUCAUACAUUUCGUUCGCGUUUGUUGGCUCUGCGUUCGCGGAGGAUCCAGUACAAGGUGUUGAUGGAUUGUGUAUCGUCUCGCUUAGUUGAUUCGGACGAAAAUAGGAUUUCUCCUGUCAUGCGCUUUGAACCACCUGAUGUUACUGCCAUUUCUAUGGCCUCUGGACAUGCGACUAAAUCAAAUUUGGAUAGAAUUAGGGGUUCCCCUGGUGCGUUGAUUGCAUCUACUAAUGCUGUUGCCGUUUCUACGGUCGGUAAAUCUAUGAACAAUUUGAAUUUAGGCGAUAGCCUGCUUAACAGCACGAGUGUGACAGGUAAAAAGCUGUCCUCUGUUCCUACUCAGAUUGCGACAGGCCCUAGUUUCAAAAUUCGUGAUCCUGGUAGGAAAACGUAUUCUCAGGGGACGCGUUCACGUGGGCAGGGUGACCUAGAAACUAUAGAAGAGCACUUUGGCCAACUCUGGCUUAUCCCCUCCCCUCCCCGCCGCCGCCUACCUCCUCCACAAACAUCCCCUCGUGUUCAUCCCUCUCCUUCUGGGUUCACUUGUUGGAUCCGGAAGGAUUUGAUCUCCUCCCACUCGUUCAUGGCCGCUGAUUGGAAUCCUGCGCCGCGUCGUGCUUUUGAUCCAAUUCCAAGAACCAUCAAGGUUUCGAGGGAGGGUUUGGGCCCUGGAUCUCUUUCGUUUGCGACAGUUGUGAAGCAAUGGAUUGCGAUGGCUGACCGGAGGGUUGCUGGCGUGGGCGGUGUUGGGGAACGUAGUAAUUUCAAAAAAAUUCCUACGCACACGCAAGAUCAUGGUGAUGCAUAGAAACGAGAGGGGAGAGUGUUGUCCACGUACCCUCCUAGACCGAAAGCGGAAGCGUUAGCACAACGCGGUUGAUGUAGUCGUACGUCUUCACGAUCCGACCGAUCAAGUACCGAACGCACGGCACCUCCGAGUUCAGCACAUGUUCAGCCCGAUGACGUCCCUCGAACUCCGAUCUAGCCGAGUGUUGAGGGAGAGUUUUGUCAGCACGACGGCGUGGUGACGAUGAUGAUGUUCUACCGAUGCAGGGCUUCGCCUAAGCACCGCUACGAUAUUAUCGAGGUGGAUUAUGGUGGAGGGGGGCACCGCACACGGCUAAGAGAUCCAAGGGAUCAAUUGUUGUGUCUCCAAGGGGUGCCCCUCUCCCCGUAUAUAAAGGAGUGGAGGAGGGGGAGGGCCGGCCCUCUCUAUGGCGCGCCCUAGGAGGAGUCCUACUCCCACCGGGAGUAGGAUUCCCCCCUUCCAAGUAGUAGGAGUAGGAGUCAAGGAAACGGGAGAGAGAAGAGAAGGAAGGAGGGGGCGCAACCCCUCCCCCUAGUCCAAUUCUGACUAGGCCUUGGGUUGCGCUCAGCCUCUCCUCUCUCUUUCCCCUAAAGCCCAAUAAGGCCCAUAUACUCCCCGGCAAAUUCCCGUAACUCUCCGGUACUACGAAAAAUACCCGAAUCACUCGGAACCUUUCCGAUGUCCGAAUAUAGUCGUCCAAUAUAUCGAUCUUUACGUCUCGACCAUUUCGAGACUCCUCGUCAUGUCCCUGAUCUCAUCCGGGAUUCCGAACUACCUUCGGUACAUCAAAACACAUAAACUCAUAAUAUAACCGUCAUCGAACUUUAAGCGUGCGGACCCUACGGGUUCGAGAACAAUGUAGACAUGACCGAGACACGUCUCCGGUCAAUAACCAAUAUCAGAACCUGGAUGCUCAUAUUGGCUCCCACAUAUUCUACGAAGAUCUGUAUCGGUCAAACCGCAUAACAACAUACAUUGUUCCCUUUGUCACCGGUAUGUUACUUGCCCGAGAUUCGAUCGUCGGUAUCUCAAUACCUAGUUCAAUCUCGUUACCGGCAAGUCUCUUUACUCGUUCCGUAAUACAUCAUCCCGCAACUAACUCAUUAGUUACAAUGCUUGCAAGGCUUAAGUGAUGUUCAUUACCGAGUGGGCCCAGAGAUACCUCUCCGACAAUCAGAGUGACAAAUCCUAACCUCGAAAUAUGCCAACCCAACAAGUACCUUCAGAGACACCUGUAGAGCACCUUUAUAAUCACCUAGUUACGUUGUGACGUUUGGUAGCACACAAAGUGUUCCUCCGGUAAACGGGAGUUGCAUAAUGUCAUAGUCAUAGGAACAUGUAUAAGUCAUGAAGAAAGCAAUAGCAACAUACUAAACGAUCAAGUGCUAAGCUAACGGAAUGGGUCAAGUCAAUCACAUCAUUCUCCUAAUGAUGUGAUCCCGUUAAUCAAAUGACAACUCUUUGUCCAUGGCUAGGAAACUCAACCAUCUUCGAUUAACGAGCUAGUCAAGUAGAGGCAUACUAGUGACACUCUGUUUGUCUAUGUAUUCACACAUGUAUUAUGUUUCCGGUUAAUACAAUUCUAGCAUGAAUAAUAAACAUUUAUCAUGAAAUAAGGAAAUAAAUAAUAACUUUAUUAUUGCCUCUAGGGCAUAUUUCCUUCAGUCUCCCACAUGCACUAGAGUCAAUAAUCUAGUUCACAUCGCCAUGUGAUUUAACACCAAUAGUUCACAUCAUCAUGUGACCAACACCCAAAGGGUUUACUAGAAUCAAUAAUCUAGUUCACAUUGCUAUGUGAUUAACACCCAAAGAGUACUAAGGUGUGAUCAUGUUUUGCUUGUGAGAGAAGCUUAGUCAACGGGCCUAUCAUAUUUAGAGCCGUAUGUAUUUUGCAAAUAUUCUAUGUCUACAAUGCUCUGCACGGAGCUACUCUAGCUAAAUGCUCCCACUUUCAAUAUGUAUCCAGAUCGAGAUUCAGAGGCAUCCAGAUCGGUGUCAAAGCUUGCAUCGACGUAACUUUUUACAACGAACUCUUUAUCACCUCCAUAACCGAGAAACAUAUCCUUAUUCCACUAAGGAUAAUUUUGACCGCUGUCUAGUGAUCUACUCCUAGAUCACUAUUGUACUCCCUUGCCAAAAGCAGUGUAGGGUAUACAAUAGAUCUGGUUCACAGCAUGGCAUACUUUAUAGAACCUAUGGCUGAGGCAUAGGGAAUGACUUUCAUUCUCUUUCUAUCUUCUGCCGUGGUCGGGCAUUGAGUCUUACUCAAUUUCACACCUUGUAACACAGGCAAAAACUCUUUCUUUGAUUGUUCCAUUUUGAACUACUUCAAAAUCUUGUCAAGGUAUGUACUCAUUGAAAAAACUUAUCAAGCGUCUUGAUCUAUCUCUAUAGAUCUUGAUACUCAAUAUGUAAGCAGCUUCUCCGAGGUAUUUCUUUGAAAAACUCCUUUCAAACACUCCUUUAUGCUUUGCAGAAUAAUUCUACAUUAUUUCCGAUCAACAAUAUGUCAUUCACAUAUACUUAUCAGAAAUGCUGUAGUGCUCCCACUCACUUUCUUGUAAAUACAGGCUUCACCGCAAGUCUGUAUAAAACUAUAUCCUUUGAUCAACUUAUCAAAGCGUAUAUUCCAACUCUGAGAUGCUUGCACCAGUCCAUAGAUGGAUCGCUGGAGCUUGCAUAUUUUGUUAGCACCUUUAGGAUUGACAAAACCUUCUGGUUGCAUCAUAUACAACUCUUCUUUAAUAAAUCCAUUAAGGAAUGCAGUUUUGUUUAUCCAUUUGCCAGAUUUCAUAAAAUGCGGCAAUUGCUAACAUGAUUCGGACAGACUUAAGCAUAGAUACGAGUGAGAAACUCUCAUCGUAGUCAACACCUUGAACUUGUCGAAAACCUUUUGCGAAAAUUCUAGCUUUGUAGAUAGUAACACUACUAUCAGCGUCCGUCUUCCUCUUGAAGAUCCAUUUAAUCUCAAUGGCUUGCCGAUCAUUGGGCAAGUCAAUUAAAGUCCAUACUUUGUUCUCAUACAUGGAUCUCAUCUCAGAUUUCAUGGCCUCAAGCCAUUUUGCGGAAUCUGGGCUCAUCAUCGCUUCCUCAUAGUUCGUAGGUUCGUCAUGGUCAAGUAACAUGACCUCCAGAACAGGAUUACCGUACCACUCUGGUGCGGAUCUCACUCUGGUUUACCUACGAGGUUCGGUAGUAACUUGAUCUGAAGUUACAUGAUCAUCAUCAUUAGCUUCCUCACUAAUUGGUGUAGUAGUCACAGGAACAGAUUUCUGUGAUGAACUACUUUCCAAUAAGGGAGCAGGUACAGUUACCUCAUCAAGUUCUACUUUCCUCCCACUCACUUCUUUCAAGAGAAACUCCUUCUCUAGAAAGGAUCCAUUCUUAGCAAUGAAUGUCUUGCCUUCGGAUCUGUGACAGAAGGUGUACCCAAUAGUCUCCUUUGGGUAUCCUAUGAAGACACAUUUCUCCGAUUUGGGUUCAAGCUUAUCAUGUUGAAACUUUUUCACAUAAGCAUCGCAACCCCAAACUUUAAGAAAUGUCAACUUUGGUUUCUUGCCAAACCACAGUUCAUAAGGUGUCAUCUCAACGGAUUCAGAUGGUGCCCUUUUUUAACGUGAAUGCAGCUGUCGCUAAUGCAUAACCCCAAAACGAUAGUGGUAGAUUGGUAAGAAACAUCAUAGAUCGCACCAUAUCUAAUAAAGUACGGUUAUGACGUCCGGACACACCAUUAUGCUGUGGUGUUCCAGGUGGCGUGAGUUGCGAAACUAUUCCGCAUUGUUUCAACUGAAGGCCAAACUCGUAACUCAAAUAUUUUACCUCUGCGAUCAUAUCGUAGAAACUUUUAUUUUCUUGUUACGAUGAUUCUCCACUUCACUCUCAAAUUCUUUGAACUUUUCAAAUGUUUCAGACUUGUGUUUCAUCAAGUAGAUAUACCCAUAUCUGCUCAAAUCAUCUGUGAAGGUCAGAAAAUAACAAUACUUGCCGCGAGCCUUAACACUCAUCGGACCGCAUACAUCAGUAUGUAUUAUUUCCAAUAAGUCAGUUGCUCGGUCCAUUGUUCCGGAGAACGGAGUCUUUAGUCAUCUUGCCCAUAAGGCAUGGUUCGCAAGCAUCAAGUGAUUCGUAAUCAAGUGAUUCCAAAAGUCCAUCAGCAUGGAGUUUCUUCAUGCGCUUUACACCAAUAUGACCUAAACGGCAGUGCCACAAAUAAGUUGCACUAUCAUUAUUAACUUUGCAUCUUUUGGCUUCAAUAUUAUGAAUAUGUGUCUCACUAUGAUCGAGAUCCAACGAACCAUUUUCAUUGGGUGUGUAACCAUAUAAGGUUUUAUUCAUGUAAACAGAACAACAAUUAUUCUCUAACUUAAAUGAAUAACCGUAUUUCAAUAAACAUGAUCAAAUCAUAUUCAUGCUCAACGCAAACACCAAAUAACACUUAUUUAGGUUCAACACUAAUCCCGAAAGUAUAGGGAGUGUGCGAUGAUGAUCAUAUCAAUCUUGGAACCACUUCCAAUACACAUCGUCACUUCAUCCUUAACUAGUUUCUGUUCAUUAUGCAACUCCCAUUUUGAGUUACUACUUUUAGCAACUGAACCACUAUCAAAUACCGAGGGGUUGCUAUAAACACUAGUAAAGUACACAUCAAUAACAUGUAUAUCAAAUAUACUUAUGUUCACUUUGCCAUCCUUCUUAUCCGUCAAUUACUUGGGGUAGUUCCGCUUCCAGUGACCAGUCCCUUUGCAGUAGAUGCACUUAGUCUCAGGCUUAGGUCCAGACUUGGGCUUCUUCACUUGAGUAGCAACUUGCUUGCCGUUCUUCUUGAAGUUCCCCUUCUUCCCUUUGCCCUUCUCUUGAAACUAGUGGUCUUGUCAAUCAUCAACACUUGCUUGAUUUCUACCUUCGUCGAUUUCAGCAUCACGAAGAGCUUGGGAAUCGUUUCCGUUUAUCCCUUGCAUAUUAUAGUUCAUCACGAAGUUCUAUUAACUUGGUGAUAGUGACUAGAGAACUUUGUCAAUUACUAUCUUAUCUGGAAGAUUAACUCCCAAUUGAUUCAAGUAAUUGUAGUACUCAGACAAUCUGAGCACAUGCUCACUGGUUGAGCUAUUCUCCUCCAUCUUAUUGGCAAAGUACUGUCAGAGGUCUCAUACCUCUCGACAUGGGCACGAGUAUGAAAUACCAAUUUCAACUCUUGGAACAUCUUAUAUGCUCCGUGGCGUUCAAAACAUUUUUGAAGUCCCGGUUCUAAGCCGUAAAGCAUGGUGCACUAAACUAUCAAGUAGUCAUCAUACCGAGCUUUUUGUCAAAACGUUCAUAACGUCUGCAUCUGCUCCUGCAAUAGUUCUGUCACCUAGCGGUGCAUCAAGGACAUAAUACUUCUGUGCAGCAAUGAGGUUAAUCCUCAGAUCACGGACCAAGUCCACAUCAUUGCUACUAACAUCUUUCAACUUAAUUUUCUCUAGGAACAUAUCAAAAUAAAACAGCGGAGCUAAACGCGAGCUAUUGAUCUACAACAUGGAUAUGCUAAUACUACCAGGACUAAGUUCAUGAUAAAUUUAAGUUUAAUUAAUCAUAUUACUUAAGAACUCCCACUUAGAUAGACAUCCCUCUAAUCAUCUAAGUGAUCACGUGAUCCAAAUCAACUAAACCAUAACCGAUCAUCACGUGAAAUGGAGUAGUUUUCAAUGGUGAACAUCCCUAUGUUGAUCAUAUCUACUAUAUGAUUCACGCUCGACCUUUCGGUCUCAGUGUUCCGAGGCCAUAUCUGCAUAUGCUAGGCUCGUCAAGUUUAACCUGAGUAUUCUGCGUGUGCAAAACUGGCUUGCACCCGUUGUAGAUGGACGUAGAGCUUAUCACACUCGAUGAUCACGUGGUGUCUGGGCACGACGAACUUUGGCAACGGUGCAUACUCAGGGAGAACACUUUUAUCUUGAAAUUUAGUGAGAGAUCAUCUUAUAAUGCUACCGUCAAUCAAAGCAAGAUAAGAUGCAUAAAAGAUAAACAUCACAUGCAAUCAAUAUAAGUGAUAUGAUAUGGCCGUCAUCAUCUUGUGCUUGUGAUCUCCAUCUCCGAAGCACCGUCAUGAUCACCAUCGUCACCGGCGCGACACCUUGAUCUCCAUCGUAGCAUCGUUGUCGUCUCGCCAACUUAUGCUUCUACGACUAUCGCUACCACUUAGUGAUAAAGUAAAGCAUUAUAGGGCGAUUGCAUUGCAUACAAUAAAGCGACAACCAUAUGGCUCCUGCCAGUUGCCGAUAACUCGGUUACAAAACAUGAUCAUCUCAUACAAUAAAAUUUAGUAUCAUGUCUUGACCAUAUCACAUCACAACAUGCCCUGCAAAAACAAGUUAGACGUCCUCUACUUUGUUGUUGCAAAUUUUACGUGGCUGCUACGGGCUUAGCAAGAACCGUUCUUAACUACGCAUCAAAACCACAAUGAUAGUUUGUCAAGUUGGUGUUGUUUUAACCUUCGCAAGGACCGGGCAUAGCCACACUUGGUUCAACUAAAGUUGGAGAAACUGACACCCGCCAGCCACCUAUGUGUAAAGCACAUCGGUAGAACCAGUCUCGCGUAAGCGUACGCGUAAUGUCGGUCCGGGCCGCUUCAUCCAACAAUACCGCCGAACCAAAGUAUGACAUGCUGGUAAGCAGUAUGACUUAUAUCGCCCACAACUCACUUGUGUUCUACUCGUGCAUAUAAUAUCAACGCAUAAAACCUGGCUCGGAUACCACUGUUGGGGAACGUAGUAAUUUCAAAAAAAUUCCUACGCACACGCAAGAUCAUGGUGAUGCAUAGCAACGAGAGGGGAGAGUGUUGUCCACGUACCCUCCUAGACCGAAAGCGGAAGCGUUAGCACAACGCGGUUGAUGUAGUCGUACGUCUUCACGAUCCGACCGAUCAAGUACCGAACGCACGGCACCUCCGAGUUCAGCACACGUUCAGCCCGUGACGUCCCUCGAACUCCGAUCCAGCCGAGUGUUGAGGGAGAGUUUCGUCAGCACGACGACGUGGUGACAAUGAUGAUGUUCUACCGACGCAGGGCUUCGCCUAAGCACCGCUACGAUAUUAUCGAGGUGGAUUAUGGUGGAGGGGGGCACCGCACACGGCUAAGAGAUCCAAGGGAUCAAUUGUUGUGUCUCCAAGGGGUGCCCCUCUCCCCGUAUAUAAAGGAGUGGAGGAGGGGGAGGGCGCCCUAGGAGGAGUCCUACUCCCACCUUCCAAGUAGUAGGAGUAGGAGUCAAGGAAACGGGAGAGAGAAGAGAAGGAAGGAGGGGGCGCAACCCCUCCCCCUAGUCCAAUUCGGACUAGACCUUGGGGGCGCCCAGCCUCUCAUCUCUCUUUCCCCUAAAGCCCAAUAAGGCCCAUGUACUCCCCGGCGAAUUCCCGUAACUCUCCGGUACUCCGAAAAAUACCCGAAUCACUCGGAACCUUUCCGAUGUCCGAAUAUAGUCGUCCAAUAUAUCGAUCUUUACGUCUCGACCAUUUCGAGACUCCUCGUCAUGUCCCCGAUCUAAUCCGGGACUCCGAACUACCUUCGGUACAUCAAAAGACAUAAACUCAUAAUAUAACCGUCAUCGAACUUUAAGCGUGCGGACCCUACGGGUUCGAGAACAAUGUAGACAUGACCGAGACACGUCUCCGGUCAAUAACCAAUAGCGGAACCUGGAUGCUCAUAUUGGUUCCCACAUAUUCUACGAAGAUCUUUAUCGGUCAAACCGCAUAACAACAUACGUUGUUCCCAUUGUCAUCGGUAUGUUACUUGCCCGAGAUUCGAUCGUCGGUAUCUCAAUACCUAGUUCAAUCUCGUUACCGGCAAGUCUCUUUACUCAUUCCGUAAUACAUCAUCCCGCAACUAACUCAUUAGUUACAAUGCUUGCAAGGCUUAAGUGAUGUUCAUUACCGAGUGGGCCCAGAGAUACCUCUCCGACAAUCGGAGUGACAAAUCCUAAUCUCGAAAUACGCCAACCCAACAAGUAUCUUCGGAGACACCUGUAGAGCACCUUUAUAAUUACCCAGUUACGUUGUGACGUUUGGUAGCACAUAAAGUGUUCCUCCGGUAAACAGGAGUUGCAUAAUCUCAUAGUCAUAGGAACAUGUAUAAGUCAUGAAAAAGCAAUAGCAACAUACGAAACGAUCAAGUGCUAAGCUAACAGAAUGGGUCAAGUCAAUCACAUCAUUCUCCUAAUGAUGUGAUCCCGUUAAUCAAAUGACAACUCUUUGUCCUUGGCUAGGAAACUCAACCAUCUUCGAUUAACGAGCUAGUCAAGUAAAGGCAUACUAGCGACACUAUUUGUCUAUGUAUUCACACAUGUAUUAUGUUUCCAGUUAAUACAAUCUAGCAUGAAUAAUAAACAUUUACCAUGAAAUAAGGAAAUAAAUAAUAACUUUAUUAUUGCCUCUAGGGCAUAUUUCCUACAGGCGGCCCCUCAAAGGCUGCUACCCAGAGAGCCAACCCGCAAGGAGGGAGGAGGCAGCCAUCUGCCACUACCUCGAAGGAGCUGAUGCCAGCAGCAAAACCUACCAGAUCCACAGCCUCUACGGCUGCUUCAUCCCAAGUGCAGUCUUCUCAAUCAGUAGAGGUAGAGAUGGAGCAAGUUUUAGAUCCUGGAUACAAGGACAUGAUCUGUUUCAACUGCGGUGGUCCAGGGCAUUAUGUUGGGAAUUGUAUUAAGCCGAAAACAUGCUUCAUAUGUCAGCAAAAUCACAACGUGAAUAACUGUGCUGCCUGGACUAGGGUUCAACCAACUGCUGCCUUUUUGGCAGUGGAACAAGUGGUGUUGGUUUUUACCAUGUGGAUGUCCCUGUUGCUAAUGAAUCCAACUGGCUGAACUUUCAAAACUGUGUUGUGGUUAAUAUUCUCAAAGGUGAUGUGGACAAGGAGUUGCUGUUAAGUCUUUUGACUGCUACCUUCUGCAAAACUAGACAGUGGCCUUGGCAGAUCAGGGGGCUGUCCAGUAAGACAUUCCUGCUGAGAUUUCCACCAUGGAAGAAAGUGGAGGAUCUCAUCGAAUUGCUUGGAUUCUCUUUGCCUCAAGAUGUCUCUGUUACACUUAUUGAGUGGAAGGGGGCAUGCGAACCUUUUGGAGAGCUUGUUUAGACUUGGGUUCUGAUUGAAGGAAUUCCUCCUAAAUGGUGCACAUGGAAAGUUUUUGCUCAGAUUGCUUCCCUGUUUGGGGUACUGACUGAUGUAGACUGGAAUGGCAUGUUCAGGACCUUUUUUGAGAAUGUUAGGAUUAAAAUUGCUUGCAGGGACCCCACAAAAAUCCCAUUUGAAAGGCUCAUUGAGAUGAAGAAGAAGUUGUUUUUACUGGGCUUCACUGUGGAGGGCUUUGAACAAGUUGGUGGGGUUGACUCUGUUAUUGAUAUUGAGGAUGAUGAGGAGUUUGAAGGAGAGGGUGAUGCUGAGAGACAGGAGGAUGAGGGUGGAAAUGUUCAGAAGGAUGGCUUGGAAGACUUACUUGAUAGUGAGGGGGCAAUUGAUGAGUUAGAUAAGGCUAAUAUUACUAGUUAGAUUAAGAAUAAACAGAAAGGGGCACAGGCUGACAUGUUCUUCUCUGAUUCUGAUCAUGAAACUUUUAUCCUAGAGUGUGUUAAUGCUGAUAAAGAAGAACAUCUGGUGACUGAUAAAAGAACUGACCAUAAGGAUUUCUGUCCUUCUGCUUUGAUGGAUUCCACUCCAUCCAGGCCAUUGGUGAAGAUUGUUGAGGGAACCACUAGUUCUGGAGGGAAGCUUGAAAGCAUGGAGUAUUGUGAGAGUAUCCUUAAAAAUGUUGACUUUUCUGAGUCUGAGGAACAGAACUCCAAGGAUGAUGAUCUUGAAACUCUUCCUCCUGAAGCUGUACAGGCCAUUCAGAACAUUUCUCUGAAAAGAUCUCUGCUAGAAACCCUUGAUCAGGCUCAUGAUCCACCAAAAGUUGAGAAGACCAAGUGGGGGCCUGUACUGGUUCAGAAACCUACUACUAGGGGGCAUGGCAACUUGAACAUCAUGGAGAAAGCUGCUGCUUACAAGAGGAAGCAGAAUCUGGAAAUUCCAAAUUUUUUUAAAGGUAAAUCAUUCACUAAUACUGAUCAUGACAUUUUAUUUGAACAAAUGAGUAAAAUUGAUAUUUGCAUUGGGGGGGAUGAUGCUAAUAGACAUGAAACCAUUGACAUGUUGGUUGAUGGGGAAAAAGAGAGAUGCUUGGCCUUUGCCAAUAACAACCCUGAAAUUGUCCUUCCAGAUAAUAUAGAGUUAGAUCAUGAUGAUUUGGUUGGGAGACCUUUGGAUGAUUACUCACUCAAGCCAGUCGGCACUGCUGAUGCCUUGAGGAGAACUCCAAAUGUCUUAACUAAAGCUAGGCCUUGUGGCCUGUCUCAUCCUUUCAAAGUUGCUUAAAAUGAUAGGUCUCAUUUGGAAUAUUAGAGGGCUUGGUCAACCUGGUAAAGUUCAGUGCCUUUGUGAUACCAUUGCUAGAGCUAACCCUGAUUUUAUUGGGUUUCAAGAAACUAAGAGAGAGGUUAUAGAUAGGAGUGAUAGUUUCUUGAUUGGGAUGCCCACUUCCCAAUGUCCUCCCUAACUGCCCUUCCCAGGGUAGGGAGUGACCAUACCCCCUUGGUGUUAGACACUGGAGGGCGCCGGUCUUUGAGUCCUAAGAUGUUCAGGUUUGAGAAGUGGUGGUUGUCCCAAUCUGGUUUUCGCCAGAUGGUCCAUGAAACUUUGUCGUCUGUUUCCUCAUCCACUUCUUCGGUAGAUAACUUGCUGUCUAAAACCAGGUUACUUAGGAAGAAGGCAAAAGAAUGGGCCAUUAAUAUUGAGGCUGCGAUGAAAAGAAAGAAAAAAUCCCUCCUUAUGGAGUUUGACCUGCUUGAUGUUCUAUCUGAAUCCCAACAGUUGUCUGCUGCUGAUCAUCAUAGAAUGAAAGCUGUGAAAUUAGAACUAGAGGAGAUUUGGAAAAAAGAGGAGAUUGCCUUCUGGCAGAAGUCUAGAGACAGGAAAAUUCUUGAAGGGGACCGUAAUAAUGCUUAUUUCCAAGCUUUAGCAAAUCAUAGACAUAGGAAGAAUCAUCUUUCUGAGUUGAUAGGCCCUUCUGGGCCUGUGACAUCCACUGAAAACAUGUUGGAAGUAGCUACUGAUUUCUACAAAAACCUGUUUGCUUAUGAACCUAAACCUGAUUUGCAUUUGGGGAAUGGUUUUUUGUCCGAGGCAGAAAUGAUUAGCGAGGAAGUUCGGGGAGACCUGGAGAGACCCUUUUCUGAGGAUGAGAUCAAAGAGGCGAUUAUGAGCUCAUAUGCCAGUGGGGCCCCAGGCCCUGAUGGCUUAUCUUUUCUCUUUUAUCAAAACUUCUGGGACCUUAUUAAGAAUGACUUGACUAUGCUAUCAUCACUCUCAUGCCUAAGAUCCCCCUGGCGAGAGAGAUGAAAAACUUUAGACCUAUUAGUCUUAGCAAUUGUGCUGUGAAAAUAUUUUCUAAAGCCAUGAAUACUAGGGCUUCCCCUAUCUGUGAUAAACUCAUUUCACAUAACCAGACUGCUUUUAUUAAAGGGAGAUUCAUCUUGGAAAGUGUGGUUAUGGCCCAUGAAGUGAUUCAUGAGGUUCAUAGAUCUAAUUCUAGUGGGUUGAUACUUAAACUUGAUUAUGAGAAAGCCUAUGAUAGGGUCAGCUGGGAUUUCUUGGAGGAAAUGCUUCUUUCUAGAGGCUUUGGGGUUAAGUGGGUCAGUUGGGUGCUUAGCACCUUGAUAUAUGGGACAUUCCAAGUUAGGAUUAAUGACACUAAUGGGCCACACUUUGUAGGUGGGAAAGGGCUGAAGCAAGGUGACCCUCACUCCCCAUUACUUUUUAACCUGGUGGCAGAUGUCUUUUCAAAAAUGCUAGUGAAAGCUGUUAAUAAUGGUUUGAUUGGUGGGCUUCUCCCACAUGCCAUCCCUGGUGGAGUAGCUAGUUUACAAUAUGCUGAUGAUACCAUUCUGUUCAUCCAGGAGUCUGUGGACUGUGCAAAAAAUUUGAAAUGGAUCCUGACUUGUUUAGAGAAGCUUUCUGGCUUAAAAAUCAACUUCCAUAAAAGUGAUUUGCAUACCAUUCAUGUUUCUGAGCAAAUGUCUAGAGAGUUUGCUCAAAUUUUUUGCUGCCAAUUUGGUGACUUUCCCUUCAAGUAUCUUGGUGUGCCUCUUCACUUUGAAAAACUGAGAAGGGAAGACUUGCAACCUAUCAUUGAUAGGAUUAUUAAGAACAUUGCUGGUUGGCUGGGCAAGCUUUUGUAUUAUAGAGGCAAACUGAUUCUACUGACUACUUGUAUUGCCAGCAUUCCCUCAUAUCUCAUGGCUAUGGUGAAAUUCCCAAAGUGGGCUAUUGACAUGAUUACUUCCCAAAUGUCUCAUUUCUUUUGGGGCAAUGUGGGUGAGGUUCACAAAUACCAUCUAGCUAAUUGGGGCCUUGUGGCUAGAAGGAAGGAAUUUGGUGGCCUGGGUGUCCCCAACCUUAGGGAAUUCAAUAUGGCUCUCCUGGCCUCAUGGGGUAAAAGAUUUUAUGAUGGGAGGGAGGGAGAUUGGAAAAAACUUCUCUGCUUUAAGUAUGCUACUGAUAAACCUAAUAUUUUCCAUGCUAAACCUGCCUCGGGGUCUCCUUUUUGGAAAAUCAUUUCCUGGGCUUUUUCUGCUGCCAGAAACUUUUGGAAAUGGAAUCAUGGGAAUGGGGAUAACAUUGCCUUUUGGCAUGAUAACUGAACUGGGGGAUGCUCCCUGAAAACUGCUUUUUGGGAUUUAUUUGAUAUAUGUCAUCAUCAGGAUGCUACUUUGUCCCAGGUGUGGGAUGGGGUGCACCUGUGUCUCACCUUCAGGAGAUGUGUGGAUGAGGUUAUGAUGCACAAAUGGGACUUAUUAGUUGACUUGGUUAAACAAACUACCCUUUCCGAUCAAUCAGACAACCCUAUCUGGGGCCUAGAAUCAAAUGGUCAAUACUCUGUAAACUCGUUUUAUAAACUGAUUAACUUUGGUGGGAUACCUUCUGAGAUUAGAGAUUUUAUUUGGAAAAUCAAAGUCCCUCCAAAUAUCCAUGUCUUCUUAUGGCUGAUGUACAACAACAAGAGCCUGACUAGAGACAAUCUGGCCAAAAGAAGACAUGUAGAGGAUAAAACUUGUGUUUUCUGUACCGAACCGGAAUCUAUCCAACACCUUUUGUUUGAUUGCAUUGUUGCAUCUAAUAUCUGGGCUGUGGUUGCCGAAGCACUUGACAUUACCCCUCCUGUUUCUUUUAUAUCAUUCACUUCUUUCUGGAAGAAGAAAAAACAAUGUGAAGCUAUAAAUAUUGCUACAUCUGCUACCUUGUGGUGCUUAUGGCGUUUGCGCAAUGGUUUUGUUUUCUAGGGGAAAAGAUGGCGAGAUAUACGCUGUGUGCUGGGGCAGGUGGCGACAACAAUCAGGCAGUGGAAAAUCCUAUCUUCAGAGGCCCAGGGUGCUCUACUUCUCCGGUGCUGGGGCAGGUGGCGACAACAAUGGUGUGCUGGGGCAGGUGGCGACAACAAUGUAAUGAGUGACUUAUCACCUUCAGUGGCUGUAAGAAUGACGCUUCUAUGGAGAGAUGUAAUAGGGAUGUAGCUUAAAACCCUGGUGUUUGUUCUGUGGCAGCUACUUUUGGUUGUCGCCGAGAGCUAUUCAACAGUCUAGUUCUGUCGUUGCCUUGGCUUAAUAAAAAGUUGGGGCGGGGGGCGACCCCUUUCUUUCAAAAAAAAGAAAGAAAAAAAAUCAGGAUGGCUAAGCAGUUUAUUUCAAGAAGCUUCUUUAAAUAAAAUGUGAUAGCUCACCAAGUCACCA